rnacentral:rRNA from 1 species
UGUCGAUGAAGAGCGCAGCCAACUGUGUGAAUUAAUGUGAACUGCAUAUUGCUUUGAACAUCGACAUCUUGAACGCAUAUUGCGGCCAUGGGUUAGCCUGUGGCCACGCCUGUCCGAGGGUCG